GCAGUCGACGAUUAAGACUCUCUUCGGAGAGUGUAUAAAGUGGCGCACGGGUGAGUAACACGUAGGUAAUGUACCGUAGGGUGGGGAAUAACUUAGGGAAACUUAAGCUAAUACCGCAUAAUGCAGCGGCUCGACAUCGAGACAGUUGUUAAAGGAGCAAUCCGCCUUAUGAGCAGCCUGCGGCAGAUUAGCUAGUUGGUAAGGUAAUGGCUUACCAAGGCUACGAUCUGUAACCGACCUGAGAGGGUGGUCGGUCACACUGACACUGAAUAACGGGUCAGACUCCUACGGGAGGCAGCAGUCGGGAAUUUUGGGCAAUGGGCGAAAGCCUGACCCAGCAACGCCGCGUGAAGGAUGAAGUAUUUCGGUAUGUAAACUUCGUAAGAAUAGGAAGAAUAGAUGACGGUACUAUUUGUAAGGUCCGGCUAACUACGUGCCAGCAGCCGCGGUAAUACGUAGGGACCAAGCGUUGUUCGGAUUUACUGGGCGUAAAGGGCGCGUAGGCGGCGUGGUAAGUCAGCUGUGAAAUCUCCGAGCUUAACUCGGAACGGUCAGCUGAUACUGCUGUGCUAGAGUACAGAAAGGGCAAUCGGAAUUCUUGGUGUAGCGGUGAAAUGCGUAGAUAUCAAGAGGAACACCUGAGGCGAACGCGGGUUGCUGGGCUAAUACUGACGCUGAGGCGCGAAAGCUAGGGUAGCAAACGGGAUUAGAUACCCCGGUAGUCCUAGCCCUAAACGAUGAUGCUUGUGUCUGGAGUAUUAUUCUCUGGGUGCCGCCGCUAACGCUUUUAGCAUUCCGCCUGGGGAGUACGCACGCAGUGCGA
rnacentral:rRNA from 1 species